rnacentral:rRNA from 1 species
UGGGGAAUAUUGCACAAUGGGCGAAAGCUUGAUGCAGCGACGCCGCGUGAGGGAUGACGGCCUUCGGGUUGUAAACCUCUUUCAGUAGGGACGAAGCGCAAGUGACGGUACCUGCAGAAGAAGCACCGGCUAACUACGUGCCAGCAGCCGCGGUAAUACGUAGGGUGCGAGCGUUGUCCGGAAUUACUGGGCGUAAAGAGCUCGUAGGCGGUUUGUCACGUCGUCUGUUAAAUGCUAGGGCUUAACCCUGGACGUGCAGGCGAUACGGGCUGACUUGAGUUCUACAGGGGAGACUGGAAUUUCUGGUGUAGCGGUGGAAUGCACAGAUAUCAGGAAGGACACCGAUGGCGAAGGCAGGUCUCUGGGUAGUAACUGACGCUGGGGGGCGAAAGCAUGGGUAGCGAACAAG